GCCCUUAGAGUUUGAUCCUGGCUCAGAACGAACGCUGGCGGCAGGCUUAACACAUGCAAGUCGAACGCUCACUUCGGUGAGAGUGGCAGACGGGUGAGUAACGCGUGGGAAUAUACCUAUCAGUACGGAACAACAGUUGGAAACGACUGCUAAUACCGUAUACGCCCUUCGGGGGAAAGAUUCAUCGCUGAUAGAUUAGCCCGCGUUAGAUUAGCUAGUUGGUGGGGUAAAGGCCUACCAAGGCGACGAUCUAUAGCUGGUCUGAGAGGAUGAUCAGCCACACUGGGACUGAGACACGGCCCAGACUCCUACGGGAGGCAGCAGUGGGGAAUAUUGGACAAUGGGCGCAAGCCUGAUCCAGCCAUGCCGCGUGUGUGAUGAAGGCCUUAGGGUUGUAAAGCACUUUCAACGGUGAAGAUAAUGACGGUAACCGUAGAAGAAGCCCCGGCUAACUUCGUGCCAGCAGCCGCGGUAAUAAGGGCG
rnacentral:rRNA from 1 species